rnacentral:rRNA from 1 species
UCUGGUUGAUCCUGCCAGUAGUCAUAUGCUUGUCUCAAAGAUUAAGCCAUGCAUGUCUAAGUAUAAGCAAUUUAUACAGUGAAACUGCGAAUGGCUCAUUAAAUCAGUUAUCGUUUAUUUGAUAGUUCCUUUACUACAUGGUAUAACUGUGGUAAUUCUAGAGCUAAUACAUGCUUAAAAUCUCGACCCUUUGGAAGAGAUGUAUUUAUUAGAUAAAAAAUCAAUGUCUUCGGACUCUUUGAUGAUUCAUAAUAACUUUUCGAAUCGCAUGGCCUUGUGCUGGCGAUGGUUCAUUCAAAUUUCUGCCCUAUCAACUUUCGAUGGUAGGAUAGUGGCCUACCAUGGUUUCAACGGGUAACGGGGAAUAAGGGUUCGAUUCCGGAGAGGGAGCCUGAGAAACGGCUACCACAUCCAAGGAAGGCAGCAGGCGCGCAAAUUACCCAAUCCUAAUUCAGGGAGGUAGUGACAAUAAAUAACGAUACAGGGCCCAUUCGGGUCUUGUAAUUGGAAUGAGUACAAUGUAAAUACCUUAACGAGGAACAAUUGGAGGGCAAGUCUGGUGCCAGCAGCCGCGGUAAUUCCAGCUCCAAUAGCGUAUAUUAAAGUUGUUGCAGUUAAAAAGCUCGUAGUUGAACUUUGGGCCCGGUUGGCCGGUCCGAUUUUUUCGUGUACUGGAUUUCCAACGGGGCCUUUCCUUCUGGCUAACCUUGAGUCCUUGUGGCUCUUGGCGAACCAGGACUUUUACUUUGAAAAAAUUAGAGUGUUCAAAGCAGGCGUAUUGCUCGAAUAUAUUAGCAUGGAAUAAUAGAAUAGGACGUUUGGUUCUAUUUUGUUGGUUUCUAGGACCAUCGUAAUGAUUAAUAGGGACGGUCGGGGGCAUCAGUAUUCAAUUGUCAGAGGUGAAAUUCUUGGAUUUAUUGAAGACUAACUACUGCGAAAGCAUUUGCCAAGGACGUUUUCAUUAAUCAAGAACGAAAGUUAGGGGAUCGAAGAUGAUCAGAUACCGUCGUAGUCUUAACCAUAAACUAUGCCGACUAGGGAUCGGGUGGUGUUUUUUUAAUGACCCACUC